rnacentral:rRNA from 1 species
AGUUAGGGCUCGACUCCGGAGAACAAGCCUGAGAAACGGCUAGUAGGACUAAGGUCUGCAGCAGGCGCGAAACUUACACAAUGCUAGAUUAACAUUAGCGAUGUAGUGAAGAAAAAUAACGAUAUACUUCCUUUUAAACAAGGUAGUAUAAUUGGAAUGAGGCGAUUUUAAACCAAUUAGCCGAGUAACAAAUGGAGGGCAAGUCUGGUGCCAGCAGCCGCGGUAAUUCCAGCUCCAUUAGCAUACAUUAAAGUUGUUGCGGUUAAAAAGCUCGUAGUUGAAUUUCUAGCGGUUUUAUAUGGUGGUUAGUCGUUUAAGGUGUUUGGACUUUGAGUGUGUGUGUAUACUCUACACAUCUCUCAUCCCAUCCACUGGCUAUCCAACUCAUUUCAAAGCCGCUGUUUCGUCACUUAAUCGAGUGCGAAGCAGGUUGGAACAAAUAGGUUGAGUCUUCCAUAGACUUAUUUCGCUAUUGUUACAACACGUUUACCUUGAGAAAAUUAGAGUGCUCACAGCAGGCAGUUGGGAUGUAAAAGUCCCUUUAUGCUUGAAUAAUGUUGCAUGGAAUAAUAGAAUACGGCCUCGGUUCUAUUCUGUUGGUCUUAUAGAACAACAAACAAGUUGGUUGAAGCGAUAAACAGUUUGCUUGGAAGUGUGGUUGCAUUGAUCAAAUCGCAUGUUGUCACACUGGAAAAGUGCUAGAUCCAGAGCCAUGUUACCUAGUGGAUCAAAACACUAGCGUCUUGCUCUCUAGUAACUAUUCAGUCAGCGUAGUUGAUUUUCAAUCUACCAUUAAGCACUCCAAACCACAAACUAGCUCUCAUUCCAACUGAGGCAAUGGUUAAAAGAAAUAGUCGCGGCGGCAUCAGUACUGCAUCGUGAGAGGUGAAAUUCUUAGACCGAUGCAAGACUAACUGAAGCGAAAGCGUUUGCCGAGGAUAUUUUCAUUAAUCAAGAACGAAAGUUAGAGGUUCGAAGGCGAUCAGAUACCGCCCUAGUUCUAACCAUAAACGUUGCCAACUAGCAAUUGGGUUGCGAUUCCUUUAAUCGAAGCCUCAAAAACUUCGAUCAUUAUGAUCCACCCAGCGGCUCUCGUAGGGAAACCAAAGUGUUUGGGUUCCGGGGGAAGUAUGAUUGCAAAGUUGAAACUUAAAGGAAUUGACGGAAGGGCACCACCAGGAGUGGAGCCUGCGGCUUAAUUUGACUCAACACGGGGAAACUUACUAGAUUAUAACUCUGGAAUGAUUGACAGAUUGAUAGCUCUUUCUUGAUUCAGAGGAUGGUGGUGCAUGGCCGUUCUUGAUUCGUAUUCCGAAACGUCUGCUUAAUUGCGAUAACGAGUGAGACCUCACCUAUUUAACUAGUCGUUUUGGUGCGCUGUGGAACGUAUAAAAGUUUGCAUUAGGUUUAAGGUUAUGCAUGCGGUUGAGUGUCAAAGCUUAGCUUGCUGUUUAGCUACCUAGUGUGAAUGUUCUCUGCUCGCCAGCGGACUUCUUAAAAGGAUAAACGGUGUUUUAGCCGUAAGAAACGAGGCAAUAACAGGUCUGUGAUGC